UACGUAGGGUGCAAGCGUUAAUCGGAAUUACUGGGCGUAAAGCGUGCGCAGGCGGUUUGUUAAGUCAGCUGUGAAAUCCCCGGGCUCAACCUGGGAAUGGCAGUUGAGACUGGCAGGCUAGAGUGUGUCAGAGGGGGGUAGAAUUCCACGUGUAGCAGUGAAAUGCGUAGAGAUGUGGAGGAAUACCGAUGGCGAAGGCAGCCCCCUGGGAUAACACUGACGCUCAUGCACGAAAGCGUGGGGAGCAAACAGG
rnacentral:rRNA from 1 species